CGGGACACGUGGUAUCCUGUCUGAAUAUGGGGGGACCAUCCUCCAAGGCUAAAUACUCCUGACUGACCGAUAGUGAACCAGUACCGUGAGGGAAAGGCGAAAAGAACCCCGGCGAGGGGAGUGAAAAAGAACCUGAAACCGUGUACGUACAAGCAGUGGGAGCCUCUUAAUGGGGUGACUGCGUACCUUUUGUAUAAUGGGUCAGCGACUUAUAUUCUGUAGCAAGGUUAACCGAAUAGGGGAGCCGAAGGGAAACCGAGUCUUAACUGGGCGUUAAGUUGCAGGGUAUAGACCCGAAACCCGGUGAUCUAGCCAUGGGCAGGUUGAAGGUUGGGUAACACUAACUGGAGGACCGAACCGACUAAUGUUGAAAAAUUAGCGGAUGACUUGUGGCUGGGGGUGAAAGGCCAAUCAAACCGGGAGAUAGCUGGUUCUCCCCGAAAGCUAUUUAGGUAGCGCCUCGUGAAUUCAUCUCCGGGGGUAGAGCACUGUUUCGGCAAGGGGGUCAUCCCGACUUACCAACCCGAUGCAAACUGCGAAUACCGGAGAAUGUUAUCACGGGAGACACACGGCGGGUGCUAACGUCCGUCGUGAAGAGGGAAACAACCCAGACCGCCAGCUAAGGUCCCAAAGUCAUGGUUAAGUGGGAAACGAUGUGGGAAGGCCCAGACAGCCAGGAUGUUGGCUUAGAAGCAGCCAUCAUUUAAAGAAAGCGUAAUAGCUCACUGGUCGAGUCGGCCUGCGCGGAAGAUGUAACGGGGCUAAACCAUGCACCGAAGCUGCGGCAGCGACACUGUGUGUUGUUGGGUAGGGGAGCGUUCUGUAAGCCUGUGAAGGUGUGCUGUGAGGCAUGCUGGAGGUAUCAGAAGUGCGAAUGCUGACAUAAGUAACGAUAAAGCGGGUGAAAAGCCCGCUCGCCGGAAGACCAAGGGUUCCUGUCCAACGUUAAUCGGGGCAGGGUGAGUCGACCCCUAAGGCGAGGCCGAAAGGCGUAGUCGAUGGGAAACAGGUUAAUAUUCCUGUACUUGGUGUUACUGCGAAGGGGGGACGGAGAAGGCUAUGUUGGCCGGGCGACGGUUGUC
rnacentral:rRNA from 1 species